rnacentral:piRNA from 1 species
UAUUUCUAUGCUCUGGGGUGCUC